rnacentral:rRNA from 1 species
GACGAACGCUGGCGGCGUGCUUAACACAUGCGAGUCGAACGGAAAGGCCCUGCUUUUGUGGGGUGCUCGAGUGGCGAACGGGUGAGUAACACGUGAGUAACCUGCCCUUGACUUUGGGAUAACUUCAGGAAACUGGGGCUAAUACCGGAUAGGAGCUCCUGCUGCAUGGUGGGGGUUGGAACGUUUCGGCGGUUGGGGAUGGACUCGCGGCUUAUCAGCUUGUUGGUGGGGUAGUGGCUUACCAAGGCUUUGACGGGUAGCCGGCCUGAGAGGGUGACCGGCCACAUUGGGACUGAGAUACGGCCCAGAGUCCUACGGGAGGCAGCAGUGGGGAAUAUUGCACAAUGGGCGGAAGCCUGAUGCAGCAACGCCGCGUGCGGGAUGACGGCCUUCGGGUUGUAAACCGCUUUCGCCUGUGACGAAGCGUGAGUGACGGUAAUGGGUAAAGAAGCACCGGCUAACUACGUG